AGCGAACGCUGGCGGCAGGCCUAACACAUGCAAGUCGAACGAACUCUUCGGAGUUAGUGGCGGACGGGUGAGUAACACGUGGGAACGUGCCUUUUGGUUCGGAAUAACUCAGGGAAACUUGUGCUAAUACCGCAUGUGCCCUUCGGGGGUAAGAUUUAUCGCCAUUAGGUCGGCCCGCGUCUGAUUAGCUAGUUGGUGAGGUAACGGCUCACCAAGGCGACGAUCAGUAGCUGGUCUGAUAGGAUGACCAGCCACACUGGGACUGAGACACGGCCCAGACUCCUACGGGAGGCAGCAGUGGGGAAUCUUGCGCAAUGGGCGAAAGCGUGACGCAGCCAUGCCGCGUGAAUGAUGAAGGUCUUAGGAUUGUAAAAUUCUUUCACCGGGGACGAUAAUGACGGUACCCGGAGAAGAAGCCCCGGCUAACUUCGUG
rnacentral:rRNA from 1 species